CCCAUUUUUAAUUGCUUUCCUUCUCUCAUCUUUCUUUCCUUUAGUUCAUCUCCUCUCGCCUCUUUCUGCAACCACUCCACCGCCGCUCUCUUCAGUGAGAAAAUGAUUUAAGGAAAAUCUUGAGAACAUUUCACGGCCUCAUAUUUCUGAGAAAAGGGAAUUUUGUCAGAGGUGUCUGCAAAAAAGAGCUCCUUCACGAUUUUCACGCAUACAUUGAUAUUUCACAUUUUUAACAUUGUUCUCAAAUUUCCUGAUACAUCUAUGGCCAGCGACAUUACAAAUGAUUUUGUCUCAUUUGUUUUCAGAGUAACAAGAAUUGCUCAUUUUUCUUGCUAAAGAGUUAUUCCAUAAUUUUGGAUUAUCAGCCUUUGGAUGGAUUCUACAAGUAUCUGUAACAUGUGUAACAGUUUUAGUGCCGAUUCAUAAUUUCGUUUUAUUUUAUUUUUUUGCAUUGCACAAAAAUGCAAUAUCGGUGCAUGUUUCGUUUGAGAUUGUCUGGAUUUUUGGUUACUUGCGAGGGUGUAAGUUUUACAUACUAUGAAUUGUGAUAUAUGUAGUAUUACAAACUCAUAAAUGAAACAAUAUAUGGUAUGAUUUGUGAAU